UGGGGGAUAUUGCACAAUGGGCGAAAGCCUGAUGCAGCGACGACGCGUGGGGGAUGAAGGCCUUCGGGUUGUAAACUUCUUUUGCUCUGAACAAGGCAUGCUAAUGGGUGUGUUGAGUGUAGGGGUUGAUUAGCGCCGGCUAACUACGUGCCAGCAGCCGCGGUAAUACGUAGGGCGCGAGCGUUGUCCGGAAUUAUUGGGCGUAAAGGGCUUGUAGGUGGCUGGUUGCGUCUGUCGUGGAAGCUCCUGGGUUAAAUGUGGGGUUGCGGUGGGUACGGGCUGGCUUGAGUGCGGUAGGGGAGGCUGGAAUUCCUGGUGUAGCGGUGGAAUGCGCAGAUAUCAGGAGGAAUACCGGUGGCGAAGGCGGGUCUCUGGGCUGUUACUGACACUGAGGAGCGAAAGCAUGGGGAGCGAACAGG
rnacentral:rRNA from 1 species